rnacentral:tRNA from 1 species
GAUAGCGUGUUCGAGUGGUUAAGGAGGUGGACUCGAAAUUCACUGGGCUCUGCCCGCGCAGGUUCGAAUCCUGCCGCUGUCG